UACGUAGGGUGCGAGCGUUAAUCGGAAUUACUGGGCGUAAAGCGUGCGCAGGCGGUUUUGUAAGCCAGAUGUGAAAUCCCCGGGCUCAACCUGGGAAUGGCAUUUGGGACUGCAAGGCUUGAGUGCGGCAGAGGAGACUGGAAUUCCUGGUGUAGCAGUGAAAUGCGUAGAUAUCAGGAGGAAUACCGAUGGCGAAGGCAGGUCUCUGGGCUAUAACUGACGCUCAUGCACGAAAGCGUGGGGAGCAAACAGG
rnacentral:rRNA from 1 species